UAUCUCCAUGUUAUUGUCUCAAGUCUUCAGUCUCUGCACCGAACUCUUACAAUCAACCAAGUCGUUGCUAAGACGGUGCUUAAAAGAGCAGCGGCAUGGGUUAAAAUUGUACUUACUAGACAGUCUUUGAUAAUCUGUUAUAGUUUUGUACAAGAGUAAUGUUUGGGAUGCUUAAACCUUUGGCAUAUUUUGUAAGUUGAAAAAUGAAUAUACUAAAGAC
rnacentral:lncRNA from 1 species